rnacentral:misc_RNA from 1 species
UCCGGUUUGGCACCGGCAGUCUCUCUAGAGUUCCCGGCAUUACCCGCUGGCAACUAGGGAUAGGGGUUGCGCUCGUUGCGCCACUUAAGGCAACAUCUCACGACACGAGCUGACGACAGCCAUGCACCACCUGUGAUGGUGUCCCGAAGGAAAGGUGUGUUUCCACACCGGUCACCAACAUUUCAAACCCAGGUAAGGUUCUUCGCGUUGCAUCGAAUUAAACCACAUGCUCCGCUGCUUGUGCGGGUCCCCGUCAAUUCCUUUGAGUUUUAGCCUUGCGGCCGUACUCCCCAGGCGGAGAACUUAAUGCGUUAGCUGCGACACCGAGAGGCAACCCUCCCAACAUCUAGUUCUCAUCGUUUACAGCGUGGACUAC